UCUCUCUUAUGUUUCAGGGUAAGUUCGUUUCAGAGGUUACUGCGCAUGGCGUGCCCAUUUGAUAAUGAGCCUGUGGACGUGGAGGCGCAGCUAAUUACAGUUUUUUUCCAUCGUGAGAAGGUCAUACGACGGCUUCUGAAGUAAGCGCUCUCUGCCACAAAUCUCUGCGUGUCAUUUAAAAAGAAUUCCACAGAUUGGCAGGAUUUUCCCUUCUACGAUAAUCUAUGACACGUUAUAUGUGAUGCAACCCAUGUCAUCACUAAUGUUGUAGCCAAAUGACUAGGGUCAGUGGAUGAUUCCAGAAUCUUCACAGAGUCAUCACUAUGCCACUCAUUUCAACAGGGAAACUACAAUGGUUUCUUGCUGGGGGACAGAGGGUGCCCAUGUCUGCCCUAUUUGAUGACACCCUACCCUGAACCUGAGCCUGGACUACAGACACGGUUCAACCAGGCCUACAGCAGAACACGGGCCAAGGUGGAGAUGACCAUAGGCAUCCUGAAGGCAAGGUUCCAGUGUCUACAUGGCCUCAAGGUCAGUCCGGGGAAGGCAUGUGAUGUUAUAGUGGCUUGUUUUGUCCUUCACAACAUUGCCACAAUAAGAGGAGAGAGCCACCCUCCUUGUCCUACUGAAGAUGACCAAGAGGAUCCAGCAGUGAACCAAGUAGACCACAGAGAUGGAAAACUCUUCCUGCACCAAAGCACAGUCAUUUCUUUAUGUCCUGAAAAAUAAAAUGGAAUAUUAUUUACAUUGCUUCACACAACUACACUUCAAUUUGUAACAUGUUCAGAUCCCAACCUUAAGGCAAUGCUCCAGUAUUUCAGUGUAGCCUUUUUAAUAGCCAGUCUCUUUCUCUCUAUUUUAGUAUAUGUAUAUUUAGUGUAUAAGGUCCACCUUUUUGAUUUGUUGUUGAAGAUGGACCUUAUACAGCCCCCUGUGCUGGCAACUAGGAAGGUGUUAAAAAGGGAAAGUAUUUAUGUUAUAAAAUUAUAUAUUAAAUAUUAUGCAAUGCAGAUAUAACUGCAGACAGAUUCUUACACUGCUUAGAUUUAGUGAUGAGGUAGACGGACCCUCAUCUGCAUGGGAAUCCCCAAAAAUGUUCUUUAAAAGGACAAUGACAAUUUGUUACUCUCUAAUGUUAAAAGGGGUCGUGUGAAACGUUAUGGUAUGUAUCAGACCUCUGUAGAACUUGCUGCACUGUCCAAUUCUGUCACAGCAGAAGUGGUCUUUUCAUUUUCAUCCUACAGUGGAAAUAUGCAAGUAUACGUUAUCUGGCAAUGUGUCACAGUUUCUGGUCCUGCUCUGGUUUUUAUUUUGAAGUCCUUCCUACUUUAUCUGUCAUGUUUUGGUUCUAGUCUCCGGUUUUAUUUUAAAGGACUUCCGGGUCUGUUCAUGUUACAGCUGUUUCCUGUCACUCCUGGUUCACCAUGCACAUCUGUCAAUAAUUUAGUAAUCAGCCAGUACUCACCCAAGCCAGUUGCCAUAUUGUUGAGUUCUGAUACCACUUUCCAGUGUUCCAGUAUAGCUUAUCUUCUUGCAUUAUCCUGUCUGUACCUGACCGUCGACUCUUGCCUGCACCCUGUCUGUACCUACGCCUGGAGAUCUUGGUAACGUUCCUGACUGUCUGACCACGAUAUAGCCUACUCCUUGUCUGUACUUCUGCCGAGCUAACCAGUUACCGAACCCUUGCCUGUCCCCGGAACCGAGUUUCCCUGCUCCUUUUGUGACUUUGCCUGAGAUCACCCGUGUACGACCUGGAUCGCGCUGACUACGUUUGUUCCAAUAAGCCGCUUAUCAACUGAUCAUCGUGUCUGCACUGUUGCAUGUGGGUCCAACACUCGAGCAUUCCUGACACAAUGAAACAUCCAUCCAUCCAUCCAUCCAUCCAUCCAUCCAUCCAUCCAUCCAUCCAUCCAUCCAUCCAUCCAUCCAUCCAUCCAUCCAUCCAUCCAUCCAUCCAUCCAUCCAUCCAUAAAAUGUAAAUGCAACAAAUCACUUAAACAUGCCACAGACUGUGUGCUUUGUGGACGGUCCAAUAAUAUAAUCCAUCCAUGAGUGACUGCAAAACAAUGCAACCCAAUUGUAAGAUCAAUGUGAAAUAAAGUCAGAGUACUACAACAUUGUAGAAGCCUAUGCAGCAUAUGCAGUUAAAUAAAAUAGGCCUGCAUACUAAUGCUAAGCUGAUUAAAAAAUCCUAGUGACAGAGAUAGUAGUUGAUUUAAAGUCAUAAAUAAAAAAGAUAAAUUACUGUGGUAAACUUACAUUUCACUAAGUAACUCAUGCCGUGGGAGGUAGUGUGGGAUGAAGUGCCCCCAGGAAUGCCACCGACCAUUGGUCGCCCAGGACACAGCCAGCUCAUCAGAUGGGGUGAGGGGAGGUGGUGGUGGCCCCACCUAUCUGACGAGCCUCUGCCUUUUUUCUAUUAGCUACAUUACAGAAAGAACAUGUUAAAAAUAUGCUUAUUAUAUAAAUCCUGUAAUUGUGUAAUCAAAUCUUACCUUUUUGUAGGAUGGUUUUGUGUUUCAUUUUGACUUCUUCCAGAAAGAUUAUGCCUUAUUAAACAAGAAUAUUGCUAUUAUCCAAUAUUAUUUAAACCUUAUGACGUUAAUAGUACAAACGAUGUGGAAGUUAUGUUUAAUUUUCCAUUGCAAUAAAAGAGGAGAGGGUAACAAAAUAAUGGUAAUUAAAUAAACCCAGGCAUUUAGUCUGUCAGUUAUUUUUUACCAAGCCAACUCUCUUUCCUUCACUGAUUCAGCUGUAUUGCUUUUUUUAAUAAAAAUUGGCUUCAAUUCCUCGUACGCCAGCAUUAAAACCUCCACCUCUGCCUCUGUGAAAUAUGCUGCCUUUUAUUGUCGCUUGGGUUUUCCAUGAUGACUUGUGAAUUUGGCGAUCCAUUGACAAUGUCUUACACUGUGCACAUGUGUUAACUUUGGGUUAGAUUAAUCUAACUCUUCUCUGUCACGGCCUGGACUCACUUCCUUCUUUAUUUUGCCGUAAGUCUGACCUAAGCCUGCCUCCUGACAACCGACUGUCUGAUCCAUGCCUGUACCGCUACUGCCUCAGUUGUGUAUCGACCCUUGCCUGCCUGACUACGAGUACUAAUAAACCCUUAUUAUCACCGAGCUUUGUCUCCGCUGUGCAUGUGGGUCUGCUACCUAGACCGCCGUGACAUUCUCAGGUAUUUUGGAACCGACAUACUGUACUCAGGGUAAGCAUGUUCUGGGUUAAUCAACCAAGAGUUCAGGGUUUAGCAGAAGGUUAAUCAACCCUGCUUUCUGGAACACACACCUGGUAAUGCGCAUAAAACAAGAGAUACGGAUUACAACAUCCAUCCAUCUUCUAUGCCGCUUAAUCCCGUACAUGGGGUCACAGGGGGGCUGGAGCCUAUCCCAGCUGGCUAUGGGCAAGAGGCAGAGGACUAAUAAAAAGGGAAACAAUUUCAUUCAGACCGAAAAAAAAAACAGAUUAACUCAUGACUAAUGUAUUAAUUGUUUUUGUGUAUAUUUUUACGGAUUAGUACUAGACAGUGACAAAACAAUUUAUUAUGCAUUACUAUUCCAACAAUUGCAGCAUCAUCAUCAGAACUAUAUCUGAAGCUUUGAUAAUCACAUGUAUUUCUAUUUAUGUAAUUGUUUUGUCCUUUACAUUGAUUUGAAUAGAUAGAUUUAUUGUAAUGUGUUAUUGUGUCAUGUUGUGGUGGAAGUUUGAGCUUGACGAACAGAGGAAAGUAUACUGAAGCUUAGUCCAAAUUUAGGACUAUUUAGGAUAGUUUAUUAAUGGGCAGACUUUUCCCCGGUCAGGCCACAGGGUAGAUGCAUCUUCACCUCCAAACUUGGCAACACCUCAGUAGACAAAAAAUUAAAACUUAAGUUUUCUCUUCAGUCUCUUCUCACGUCUCCUUCCACAAGGCUUCUUAAGUCAUCUAAGUCUUCUUAGAACUUUCUCCCAGCUAAGUAAACCCAGCUGUACCACAUGACUGAUUCAGGAAGCGAUUGGGAUCUUGCCGCGGGCUCCAACACUGGGAGAAACAGAAAUAUGUCUAUUCCCAUCUAUGUAAGUUAGCAGUGGCAAAACCCUUUGAACGGCUGUAUUCCAAAGCAGAAGAAAAAAUGGCAAAAAAAGUCGUCUAAGACCUGCCACAGUGGAGAAACUGCUGUUUUUAAAUAAAAAAAAAACUAUGAUUUGUCUCCCAAACCACAAUCCAUACCUCAAGGUUACAAAAGCACAAUCAUUGUCCAUCCCCUCACCUCAUUGUAAAUAAUAAUUUCCAUUUUCAUAAUUUCUAAAUAAUCAUUUUCCAUAAUGCCAGUGUGUGUGUGUGUGUGUGUAUGUAUGUAUGUAUAUUUGUAUAUACAGUAUAACAUACAAC